rnacentral:lncRNA from 1 species
GUUGCAAGACUGAGGCCAUAGCAGAAGCGCUCAUGUCUGGCCUGUCAGAUUCCAACAAAUCUGUGACUUCUGCU